AUACGUUUGAAUUUUUAGAUGCCUAAUGAUGGGAAAAUUUGGCAGUUAAUCAAAGAACUAAGAAGUGGGCAUGUGUUUGAUGGUUGGAAAGAAGGGGUAAUAAGCUUCGCACCGACUUACAAGUAUGAAAUCAACUCUGAUAGAUACGUUGGGGAAAACCCGAAAGAAGGAGAGAAGAAGAGAUCCCCAGCAUGGUAAGUGAGACUGUUGCUGGAUCAUUACUCUUAACUCCAUAUAGUUAUUGACCUUACUAAAGAAUUCCUCGAUUGUUGGCGACUGGACGAAGUUCUGUUAUUUCUACUCAUCUAUAAAGCAAUAUUUCUGGAGAAUGCAACAAUCUAAUUUCUAUGGAGUUAAGUUUACAUUUAGUGUUUACUAUAUAUGUUUUAUCAUACUUAGUACUUGUUACAAGACAUUAUAUAUGUGCAGGUGCGACCGUGUAUUAUGGUUAGGAAAAGGCAUAAAACAACUUUCUUAUGAGCGAAGUGAGAUAAAGCGAUCAGAUCAUCGGCCCGUGAGUUCAAUGUUCCUUGUUGAAGUCGAAAUCUUUGAUCAUCGCAAGCUCCAUAGAGCUCUUAAUCUCUAUCGUUGCAAUACAUCCUAAUAUAUAUUUUCCUGAGUGAAGGUUGACAGUGACAUAAAAGUAGUGUCUUACUAGUAAGUGCUUGAUGACCAUUGUAAUGAAUGG
rnacentral:lncRNA from 1 species